ACACACACACACACACACACACACACACACACACACACACACACACACACACACACACACAUAUACACAUUCAUAGGGCUGUGGCUGUCUCCACAUCCGACUCCUGCAUUGAUCUGUGAUGCGUUGACGAAAAGCGAGUUGUGCUUCUUUCGUUGUGUGUGUGUGCGUUUGUGUGCACUCUGAUAUGAUUCAGCCUUUGGGUUAGCAACACAGAAAAUAAUGAAUGGCCAUUCGUUAUCCCUGCAAAAAGAAGUGAGACUGCCCAGCCCAGUGCAACACACAUGCACAAGCAAACGCACACAGGCAAGUACACACACACACACACACAGUAAGCAAAAGAAGAAAUGAAGAGAGACAGGAAAGGGGUGUCAUCGCGCUGUGCUUUCAGUAUGAUUUUCCAGUCACUAUAAAUCCCAGGAGAAUAACAGCAGAGAAACAAGUAAACUUGACUUUGUUGGUUGUUUUUCACAAACACGAGAGUCAGUUUUAGAGGGAUGCAGCAGAUGUUGAUGCUUAUUAACACUGCCUCAAGCUCAAACAGUGGUGGAAUCUCUAGCUAUGGGAUUCUUUAAAAUUUGUAAUUGAUAUCAGAUAGAUUUCUAGGAUUAAGGCUACCAUGUUUCUGACCUCAAUCCCUAACCCCCUAGCCUACACGUAGGCCUCCAAAAUGUAUAGCCCCUACCUGAUCCUGAAGGACCUCUAUCUGUAUUCACUUUGGGUCUCUUUCAAUAAAGGGCCUUGCUAUGAAAAUACUUAGUAUAGUCUCAAACAAUUUCCAUCAUAGCAGUGGUAAGAUUUAACCACUAACAUGUGACAUGAAGUUACGUCAAAGUUUAUUUAUGUAAUGCGCUAUAAUUAUUUGUGAGUUAUUUGCAAAUCACACGCAAUGUUAUUUUUUAUGACUUUUAAACAGCUCAGUGGUUGAAACCACAUUUUUCUUCUUAUUUUCUAACAAGUACCUCCAAGUGGACGCACAAAAGACAACCUGUCCAACAUCAUCAUCCUCUGUUCAGUAGGAAAGCCAUCAAUCAUGCGUUGCUGGAAAGUUAGCAAGGCAAUAUUACGGGAACAGUCCUUUUCUCAUCACACAAAGCUCUCAUGGAGCCCAAUCAAACGAUUCCACGUUAUUAACAUUAAUCCGGUUAGGCCGAUUCCCUCGGGUCUCUGAUCGCCCUGACCCCAAACCACCUCAGUUUACUGUCAGAGUAAGUCAUCCCUGUGACGGCGUAGCACAAGGCCUCGCCUCGGUUGAUCUCAGCCCAGCCGCCGAAACCACAGCUGCCUUCGGCGAUGGUCAUGUGCAAAUAUAUAAGCCGGCGUUGUGCUGUCAUUACGCCGAGGCCCUCGCUCCCGUUCAUCUCGGAUUAAUCUCACAGAGUGGUUCUUGUGUUGGGUCUCGUGUGACUCAGCGAAUUGGCCGGCCCGCUCCUUCCCCUCGGCCAGACAGGUGUGGUGGCGUCUCUGGAAAAGCUCCUCUCGUUUUCGGCCCCUCCGCCCCACUGAGCAGCAUGUCCCCGGUACCGUCAAUAGGUGUGUGUCCCCAGGAGCGACCUCGGGUCAUGUCCAUUUGAUAUGUCCAGCCCUUGAUCAACGUCACGUCUCAAACUGCCUCACAGGCCAGAUGCUUCACACGCCAGUCGACACCCCCCGAAACUCUAAGCCCUCUGAGGGGCAAGGGGAACACUCUAAAUCAUCAAGGAACAAACCUUGAGAGACGAUAUAAAUAAACACCUCUGGAGGAUCGUGUUUAAUAUUCUCAACGCUGGUCGUUCUCUUAGCAUUCGGCUCUGUCUUUCUUGAAUCCCCUGGUUCUUGUGACACGGCACAGGCUAGCGCUCGAUGCCGGUCAGGCAUCACGUCGUUGAGGUUUCUGUCGCGGUUUAGGCUUUCAGGAUUCAGGCUGAGAUAACACGUCUGGAUUUUUUUAGUUCAUGAAUAUUAGCACUGAAAGACUUGACAGAAGUCGCCCAUUAAAUGCUGUGAAGAAAAAAACUUUGAGCAGUGCAGGUCGAAAAGCCAUAAAUAAAUCUUUGUUGAUGCUGCACAGCAUGAAUAAUUCUUCUUGUACUAGGCCUUGGACUUAUGGAUCAUUUAGUGAAGCAGUUAAUCAAUGAACACCAUAUACAAUAUGCUUUUAAAUAGGUUGGCCUAAAAGCAUAUUGUAAAAGACCUUAAUCAUAUUUCAGCUUCCCUUUGUAACCUGAAUUUGCCAACCAGUGAAGAUGUUGACCCGACAACACUCGUGAAAACCUUCUGCAUGGACAGCAUGAGAAUGUGUCCGUUAUGGAAACAUUCAAAAUCAAACUGUUUCUUUGAGGAUGUUAGGAAGGAAGGAAGGAAGGAAGGAAGGAAGGAAGGAAGGGGCAGGAUAAUGUAGUAGUUCACCAGCCAGCCUAAAGUUUCUGGGUCGGAGCCCCAGGUUUCUGUAGGCAUCCAUGAGCAUGAUGCCUAACCCGUACCUGCUCAUUAGUUACGUCUAUCAAAAAGACAUUCCACUGGGAGACACUUUUAAUAAAAGUGUCUGUUAAAUGAGUAAAUAUUGGGAUGUGAUUAAGGGAUGUAGGAAGGAAGGAAGAAAGGAAGGAAAAUGAGUAUUGAGACAUUAUCUUCCCAAGAUAUUUGUUGCAGUGGUCUUAGAGGGGAGAUGGGUCCACACUCACUUGGAGCAGUUAAAGAGGCAGAUGCACAGGGUUGAAGGUCAUCGUUCGCUCCAUAAUAUUCUCAGUGUUCGUCCUCUCAGGACCUUCACGGCGGUCACGACUGCACCGAGCGCACAUUUUGAAACUGGUAGGAGGAAGUUCUCCUGCAACAGGGGGUGUACUCCCUUUAAUUAGAGAGAGAGAGGAGCGUAGAAGGAGGAGGAGAGAAUGAGGGUCUCAGGGUGGGAGGCCAGGGUGAGGGGGUUCACACACUAAACACUGGCUUCUCAUCACUGCAUGACUCACCCGGCCCGUGUGGAUGGGUGUGUGUUUGCCUGUGUGUGUGUAUGUGUGUGUGUGUGUGUGUGUGUGUGUGUGUGUGUGUGUGUGUGUGUGUGUGUGUGUGUGUGUGUGUGUGUGUGUGUGUGUGUGUGUGUGUGUGUGUGUAUGGAUUUGUGUGUAUGGGUGUGGGUGUACGUGUGCACGUGUUUGUAUAUGGGUGUGUGCGGAUAUGGGCGUGUGCGUGCAUCCUUGUAUCUCAGUGGGUGUACGUGCACACUCGCAGUGGUGCGACGUGCGCACACAUUGUGCGUCCUCUGCGCAUGUGUGCUCCUUACCUCACUGCUCAGGCAUUCCUGCAGAGAGAGAGAGAGAGAGAGACAGAGAGACAGAUAGAGAGAGAGAG
ensembl:lncRNA